rnacentral:lncRNA from 1 species
UCCAGCCUCUGCAUCAGCAUGAUGCAUACGGUCUCUUUAUUAAACAAGCAAACAAAAUGCGGUUCAACAUAAUCUCGAACAAAUAAACGUAAGAUGGAAAAUUAAAACAAAAGUGCCACAACCGAUAAAAUAGGCCUAGAUUUCUACUCAUCCAUCCUAUUAAUGGAAUGCCAUCCAAACCGAUUGAAGAUAUCCCGCGCUACCGUCUCCCAUCGGGUAGACCCAGUAAUCAAAGGCUCCCUGGUUUCUGCGGGAGUGAGUAAUGACCAGGUACGGUUCGAUGCCGCAGCUCUGUGUAGUACCUGCAAAAAAUGUAUAUUUGUUUGUCUGUCAAAAACCACAUCGUUUCUACAGUUCCAAAUAGCCCACAAAAGUGCAGAAACUCCAAUGCGGAUGUGCCUAGCAACAAUCGCAUGUACUCCAUCUAGCCACGUUCCAAAUAACGUGUCAAUACUGUCCGGAGGUAUAAUAUUAAAGGCUACGUGAACCGUCUGCCAAAGAACUCUUGCAAGUGGGCAUUGGAGAAAGAGGUACGAAAUAUUUUCCUCGUUAUCACAGAAACAACACCUAGUACUACCCCCCCCCCCCAAUUUCGUUUAGCCAGGUUGUCCUUAGUUAUAAUCACCUUCUUGUGCACAAACCACAUGAAGACCUUGAUCCUUAAGGGAACCUUAACUUUCCAAAUAUUUUUUGAUUUUGGGAUAGUAAAGGUGUCAAUAAGAUCGAGAUACAACAAUUUAACUGUGAAGACUCCACUAUUCAUGAGCUUCCAACGCACCCUAUCAGGUUCGUCGGAGAGUUGUAUAUCCAUGAGUCUUCUAACAAGGUGUAACCAAUCAGCCCAUCGAUGUCCUAUCAAUGCCCUUCGGAAUUGUAUAUUUAGAGGAGUAGACUGUAAGAUUGUGGCUACAUACGCAUCCUUACGUUGCACAAUAUUAUAUAGAGCUGGAUAUUGCGUGGCUAUAGGCGUCUUCCCCAACCACGAAUCCUCCCAGAAUCUAGUACCCUCCCCAUUUCCAAUAAUGAUUUUAAUUCUAUGAAAGAAGUCUGAUCUUACUUUCAUCAAUCCCUUCCAGAAUGGUGAACCGUUGGGUCUUACAUUUACAUGUGCUAGGGUCUUGGAAUGUAGGUACUUAUUACGCAAAAUUUGUGCCCACAUUCCUUCUGUCUCAACUGACAGUCUAAUCAACGACUUACUUAGCAGACAUCUAUUCUUGACCUCCAGAUUCUCAAUUCCCAGACCUCCUUGGUCUUUGGGCCUACAGAUAAUGUCCCAUCUGGCUAACCUGUAUUUCUUUUUGUCUCCAUCGGUUUGCCAGAAGAAUCUAGAUCGAUAAAAGUCCAAUAUUCUUCGUACCCCUACAGGUACCUCAAAGAAUGACAGGAGGAACAUGGGCAUACUCAUCAGAACCGAGUUGAUCAAAAUUAGUCUACCUCCAUAUGAGAGCAGUUUGCCCUUCCAGCAACUUAGCUUUUUCUCAAAUCGAUCUUCUAUACAUUUCCACUCGCCUAUUCGAAAGCUUCCGAUGAUGAAUAGGUAUGCCUAGAUAACUAAAUGGUAGGCUCCCCAUUUCACAUCCGAACAAUUGCUUAUAUGUGUUUUGUUCAUCUUGGGCUUUCCCAAAGCAAAACAGCUCCCUCUUAUGGAAAUUUAUUUUUAAGCCAGACAAUUGUUCAAAUAGGCAAGUAUAAGCUUCAUAUUCCUCGCUUUUGCUAUAUCAUGCUCCAAAGACAGUAUCAUAUCAUCCGUGUAUUGUAGGAUGGACACGCCACCGUCAACAAGAUGUGGCACAAGUCCGCCUACCUGGCCUUCCUGUUUAGCCCUUCCUAUUAGAAUCGCCAACAUAUUGGCGACUACGUUAAAUAGAAUGGGAGACAUUGGGUCUCCUGCCCGAGACCCUUGAAAGUUUGAAAAAAAUGCCCAAUAUCAUCAUUGACUUUGAUUCCAACACUUCUUUUUGUACAAAAGAUUCAACAUGCUUCCUCCAUAUCUCAUCAAAUCCUUUCAUACGUAAUGGUUGUUGCAGGAAUGGCCAUUUGACCUUAUCAUAUGCCUUUUCGAAAUCCACCUUGAAGAUAACCCCAUCUAGUUUCUUCGAGUGGAUUUCAUUCAACGUUUCAUACAGGACUACCACACCCUCUAGUAUGUUCCUGUCUGGCAUAAAGGUCGUCUGACUAGGUUGCACUACUUCAUGUGCAAUCUGUGUCAACCUAUUUGUGCCUACCUUUGUGAAUAUUUUGAAGCUAACAUUCAGAAGACAGAUAGGUCUAAACUGCUCUAUGCGCACCGCCCCUUCCUUCUUUGGUAACAACGUGAUUGUUCCAUAAUUUAGAUGGAAUAGCUGCAAGUUUCCGUCAAAGAGGUCUUGGAACAUCGGUAACAAAUCACCUUUGAUAACGUGCCAACAUCUCUUGUAAAACUCUGCCAGAAACCCAUCUGGGCCAGGUGCCUUAUUAUUCUUCAUUUGCGAUAUGGCUUCAAACACCUCUUUCUCCGUAAAAGGCGCGAUUAAUACCUCAUUCUCGUCCGUCCCGAGCUUAGGUAUGUCAUCGACCAUUAGCUCAUUCAUGGUAAUAAAAGUAUCCUCGGGGGCCCCGAAUAGUUUUUUAUAAUAUUCGGAGAUGUAGAAUUUCAGACUCUCAUGUCCUACUAUUGUACCCUCGUCUUGCUCUAGCUGGUAAUUUUUUUUCUUUCUAUGUUUUCCAUUAGCUAUUAGAUGAAAGAAUUGUGUGUUGUCAUCGCCUUCUACAACAUGUCGAACUUUCGCUCUAAGAGCCCAUUUCAACUCCUCCUCUCUAAGAAGUUGCUUUAGUUUUAGUUCAACCUCCGUUUCUAAUGACCUAUCAUUGUCAUCUAGUAACGUACUUUCGGCCUUAAUGUUAAGUGAAUUUAUAAGUUCAAGUAACCUUUGUUUGUCUUUCUUAUAAAUCCCACUUUCAUGUUUUGCCCAUCCCCUCAAAAAUUGACGCAAGUGCCUUAUCUUAUUUUGCCACUUGUCAACUGUGGAAGUCCCCCCCACCAUGUCUAUAGCCCAUUCUCUGGCUAUAAGGUCCAUGAAUCCUUCUUUUUCAAACCAUCCUAGCUCGAAAGAAAAAAAGUUUUUAUUCCCCAUAUGUGUUGCUUCUCCUGAGUCAACUAAGAGUGGGGUGUGAUCCGGUAUCGCUCGGGGCAUAGCCCGUACCGUGACGUGAGGGAAUUUCUGCUCCCACUUGACACUCGUGAGCACCCUAUCCAACUUCUCAUACGUUGGAUUGGAUAAACUAUUUACCCACGUAAAUUUUCUGCCCGAAAGCUCAAUUUCUCUCAAGUCAAGACUUUCUAUAAUAGAGUUAAACAUAAAUGACAAUCUGCCAUCAAAGUUAUCAUUGUUUUUCUCAUUUCGUCUCCUGAUGAUAUUAAAGUCUCCCCCUACUAAGAUGGGUAGCCUCUCAUCUCCACAGAUCCGGACAAGAUCAGUUAGAAAGUCUCUCUUAAGCUCCGGUUGGGCCGCCUCAUAGACUGCCACAAGGGUCCAUUGGAACCCAUCGACCUUCGAUCGCACCCUGAAUUUGACGGCAAAGUCCCCGAACACUACGUUCUGGACUUCAAGCGCGUCACACCUAACCCCAAGCAAGAUCCCCCCGAUCUUCCUCUAGGUGGUAAACAGUGCCAAUCGAAGUAAAUACCACCAGAUAUCGUUUGUAAAAAUUGUGCUGUAAAGUUAUCUCUCCCCGUUUCCAUCAAAGCAAUGAAAUCUAGUAUGUGCUCGAUGGUUGCUUCUGCUGGAAAUCUUCUUUUAGCCAAGUCUGCCAGACCUCUGCUAUUUCAGAAAAUUCCUUUCAUCUCUCAUCAUGAAAUUUCUUUAUUGUCUUAAAUCUAGCACUACGACGCACGGCUGAAACAGGAUAGACCUUCCUCUUCCAAGUUCUUUUUGGUCUAUCCUGCCCCUCCGACCGGUCCAUAUAACCGGUCAUCUGGAGUGCGUCAAUGGACGAUUGUGAGGAGGCUACAACCCUCUCCUCGACAGUCUCGUCCAUCUCUUCAUUCAAAAGUGACGGAGGAACAAGAUCCUCACAUAGACGUUCUAAGGCACCCAACCCUAAAGCAUUUAUAUCAUUGUCAUUCAUCAGUUUCACUGCUGCUAUAUUUCGAGCCAUUUGGAUGGCCCUCUUAGCUUCUAAAUCUAAUAAGACAUUAAUCGAUUUAGACACUUCUUGCUUAUUACUACCCAGAGACAGCCCAAGUUCGGUUGCAUUUAAUAUUAAAUCAUCUUCAGAAAAAUGCAUAAUUGAGCAACUCGUAUCAAUAGCCAUACCUGUGGUUGUCUCAAUGUCGCGAAUCUUAGCCGCCCGCAUGGCACGACCCAUCUGUAACUCAUCGACAUCUGGUUGAGCUUGGAGGCGAGCACUCGAACGCCUAGCCUCAUUGGAAGGGUCUGGAAUACCUCCGAACUGAAUAAUCUCCUCUGUAGAGGGGCCAAUAAGACUAUGACCAUCUGUCACAUGUCCUACCUGGUUGUGUCCACCAACACCAGUCGUGUCCAUCCCGGCGUUGCACACUUGCGCCGAGCGAAGUGAUGGUGAGAUUGCCUCAUUAAGCUGGCCCUCUGACUCCUUAGCAAAUAAACUAUCACCAAGCUGUGGAGACUGCACUGUCAGGGGAACGCCCAGGUGGCGAUCAGCCUUGAGUGCAUCAAGUUGUGCAACAGCAUCGGCACUGUUGGCUGUCACUUCUUCGGUCUUCUGCUCACCUAGAGUGCGUCCGCCUACCAAGAGUCCAGCGCCGGCCUCCCGUGUACCACGUCCGCCAGAGCGGUGAGGCGAUGCACAGGCCGAAAUAUGGCCAACCUUCUUCGUCGCUACGUUUGAGGUAUGGCCGGCCGCCACCUCGUCAAACUCUUCCGAAGCCUGCAUGCUCCCUUUAAGGGAAGGAGUUAUGACUCUCGAUGUACUCGGCUUCGUUGAUGAUCCCCCCUUAUUCAUGGGGCAAUUAGAAGGCAACCCUGGAGACUCCCUGUCUCCCUUGAAAGUGAUAGAUGAAAGUGGUGGCAGUUCCAGCUUCACUGGAUCAUCCAUCUCCACCCUCUCACUCCAUAAUCUGGCAGGCGGCGAAUGCGACACAAAGGACCCAAAUCCCAACUGAUUCAUCGGAGUAGAUGUGUGUUGUAUAUCCAUGGACGAACCAGAUCCUCCCUUUUUGGCUACUGGUGGUUUUCCACUCUCAACAUCGUCCCCAGUCUUGGGUCCCUCAUCUCUAUUUCCAUUCCCAUUGUUGCCAUCCUCAGUGUCCAUAUCAAUAUUAUGGGCCAGCUCCUUAAACCCAACACUCUCCUCAAGCUCAAUGUCUAGGUCAAAUAUCUUCUCAUCAUAGGUCCAUCUAACUGUAUCAGGGAUAUGCUCAAUACUGAUGACACUAACCAGUAGUCUUGCCUCCCCGUGUGCUCUAGUAAAAGGCAUUUCCACUCUUUCUGUUUUUCCUAUCAAAGAUCCCAGGCUCCAUGUCACUAAGAAAUCAUCAAUAGCUAUGCGUGGAGCCCCCAGAAACCAGUUCCUUCAGGCUCUUUCUACGACCAAGCCUUAAAUUCCAGCACACAACUGCUGCUAGAGACCUUGCUCAUUCCAAAUUUUAGAGACCUUGCCAGGUCCUCCUUGGAGGGGAAAUCAAGUUUGAAGAGAUGAUCAUCCAACCUGAUUGGAUUCCAUUGGAAGGUUGCAGAAACUAGCUCACGCAUAUGCUGCACUAUUUGUUCGGCAGCCAUCGUAGCACGCGUCACCCUUACGAUGCCCGUCCGCGAACUCUCCGGAGACGGUGUAGUUAAAGUUGGGUGAGGAGACUCAAAGAACAUGAGUUCAGAACAGCAAGCCCCAUAGAUACUGACCACAGGCUUUGGGCCAAGUACCAGUGGGCAUUCUCCCUUCUCAUGCUUAGGUUUACGACAUGUAUCACAAAGUUCCACAGAACACUCAGCCACCAAGUGCCCCUGUCCUCCACACCUUAAGCAUGCCAUCUUUUCUUUCUUCUUAGCCCAUUUAGUAACUCUCAUGCCAUCUGAUUUUUCACUGCCCUUGUCAGACCUUCCGGCAACAUCAUCACCCACCUUAGACUCCAGUAUAGCAGCCCCUGCUAGAGCUCUAACCGUAGUCAAUUGUUCCCCGGUAAGUGUAGGUGCAGCUACCGCACCUUCCACCAUAGGAUCUUCCUGCUUCCCUUGUUGGUUGCUUGUAGAGACACGGCCACCAGCACCCCGGUUACCUGCUGGCCUCCUACCAGCACCAGUCCUGCCAUAUGGACGAGAGUGAUUCAUGUUCAUCGGUCCCGUAGCUCCUUCAACGUACGGUCCGUUCGGGGGAACGAAACCACGGCCUCCUCCAUCCCCACGGCCACCACCGCCAUUAGAGGAUUGUCCGCGAUAGGUACCAUCUCCAUAUGCACCAUAUCUGUCAUCUCCCCAUCUUCCGGUAGCAAAAUUUCGACCGUCAAUGUGAGCUUGAUACCCUCUAGCUACCUCCAACGCCGGCUCCUCCUCUACCAGCGCUGUUGCUGUCGCCGCGUCCUCCCGCAAACUGCUGGUUAACACCUCGGCCUGUCCCUGCAUGGCUGUUCCCAGGAUCCCCCGCAGCCCCUUGCCUGGGCGGCGAGUGAUUGUUGCCGCGGCCCCCGGCCAUGCACACUGUCACCGCAGCUCCGUUUCCUGGGACGCCGUCACCGUGACCACGAAGAUGAGGUCCGAUCCACCUUGCUCUCCCUGCGGUCUUGGCAGAUGGGAACCCCGGACAGUUCUGUCGCCUGGAAACCUUAGUUACGGCGCAAGUCUUUGACUUAACAGAAUCAAUCACGUCCUGAUUCUUGUGAUUGCAGCAGGUUUGGACUCUUAACUGGGCCAUAUACCCAGUACUGGUCGAGUCCAUCCCCUCCGCUAUUUGCUUUGUCUGUAUGAGGCCCAAAGGCCCUUUCAACAAUUUUGAAUUUGCCGAUGAGAUCUGGCACGCCGUCGCCGACGGCACAGCAGCCUUCCUUCGUUGUUUCUUGCUCGUGACAAUCUUCCAGGGCGAAUUAAAGAAAUCUGACAGUGUAAGCUUUGGCAAACUCACCUUAGGGAGAGGACCAUGCCAUGGGCGCACCGACGACGCCGCCGUUCUUCGCCGCGCAACCCUCCUGGCGAUCUCGAUCUUGUCCGUAUACUGCAGUCCUUGCCUGGCUGGAUCGUUCGUCGGAACUAGAUCGUCAACGAUCUCGGCGACCUCCUCCUCCG